rnacentral:lncRNA from 1 species
UUUGGUACUGUCAAAUGAGAAUGGAGCGGGAACAUGGAUAACCAUGGGCUCAAUCUUCUUCACUGGCUCUAGGUCAACAUUUCUCUGAUAAGGGACCACAAAAGGCUUGGGAAGCCUCUCUUGAUCAAAUAUAGGCACAAUCACAGCAACAUCCUCAUCAAUCUUUGCUCUGGUGAACUGAAUAACCCUCUGAUCCAUCAAACGUUGAAGACAAAUUUUGAAUUCAACACACUGAUCAGGG